UACGUAGGGUGCAAGCGUUAAUCGGAAUUACUGGGCGUAAAGCGCACGUAGGCGGAUUGUUAAGUCGGACGUGAAAUCCCCAGGCUCAACCUGGGAACUGCGUCUGAUACUGGAUGGCUUGAAUCCGGGAGAGGGAUGCAGAAUUCCAGGUGUAGCGGUGAAAUGCGUAGAUAUCUGGAGGAAUACCGGUGGCGAAGGCGGCAUCCUGGACCGGCAUUGACGCUGAGGAGCGAAAGCCAGGGGAGCAAACGGG
rnacentral:rRNA from 1 species